rnacentral:lncRNA from 1 species
CAAUCUCCCAAGGCAAGUGGAAAGCAUGCACAGUGCCACAACAUUUGCUUUUGUUAAAUUUUGUUUUAUCAGCUUAACUUUUUCUUAUAUUUAGAAAUACUCAAAAAUUAAAUUUUCAUGAAUUCUUAUUUAAAUUAUUAGUUUUUUGGGGAAGGAUUGGGUGGUUUCUAGAGUUUACUUUCGUUUGUGGUAUAUGAAUGCUUUUCUAGAUAAUGAUUUAACCAAUGGGCUUAGAAUGUUAAUUGUCCAAUUCGACCUUUUUCCAGGCA